UUAUGUGUGGUGUUGUCCAAAACGGAGAUUUGCGAGAUUAGGAGGAAAAAAACUUUAAUUUGGCCCCAGACAAACGAUAUAAGAUCGACUAAAUUUCAGUCAUGAAAUUUAGUGGUAUUAGAAAUAGUUGAUUAAUAUUGAGGUUACAGUCGAGGAACAUUGAGAUAGAAAUAUAAUUUAAAACAUAAUUUGAGAGACAUUUGUAGCACAUUAAGUAAACACAAUAUUUUGACUAGUGACAUCACAGUUGCUUGUUGUAUAGUUGAAUUGAUGGCCAUUACAUUUGAAAUCAAUCUCAAAUUAAACGAAUUCAAUUCGAAAUGAAUUUUGUAUUCGCACAACACGAUACUUAUUGCGUGACCUCGUGAUACAUCUCGUCAAUAGCUCCGCCCCAAAUAGGAAGUCGUGCACAACCAUUGUUCAACCAUUUGUUUUGCCAGGGAAAAGGUAAACGUGGAGGAUUCGAGUCGAUUUAGAUCAAGUCUAAACAUUCUCGUUUUCUCAACAAAGUGAAAGAUUUACUAGCAAAUGACAAUGGAGAAUGCUGCCCACCUCCAAAGUCAGCUAACCUCUCUCAUGAACGCGGUAAUGAGGGCAGCGGUCGUGGAAAUAGUCAGACUUGUAGAGGGCAGUGCUGUGGCCCUUCGCGACGAGUUGUCCAAGAGUAAACGGGAGAACGAAGCACUGAAAGCCGAGAACGAGUCGAAUAAAAAUAAGAUGCAAAAUUUGGAAGCAAAACUAGCUGCGGAGCAGCGUUCUCUUGGUUGUCAUGUAGCCGAAGCUGGUGGCGAUCAAUUUGUCCAAACAAAGGAAGAUGUUAAGGCUUGUGCAGAGAAGACCCGUGCAAGGCUGCAAUCUUUGGAGCCAGCAGGCCAAUCCCAGGCGACAGCUUUCAAUAAAGGGGAAGGCCUAAAAGUUGUUACCAUGGAGAAGGAUGGAAUACAAGUACUUCGCAUCAAGAAGGAAAUAAAUGAAGGCACAGAACAUGACACACCAUGUCCAAUGACCGGUGAGCAGCCGUGUCCCAAAGUGGACAUGGUGUAUGGCAAGGAGUGGAGCCAAAGCCUGUGGCGAGAUGGAAAAGAAAUAGGAGACCGCAGUGACGGAACAGAGGAGAAAGAAACUCCAGGACCAUCAAUGACCCAGCAUCAGAACGGAGGUUCCACUUCAGUGCAGUAAGCUGAGUCCAUCCACUCCUAUCUUCAAAGUCUUCUGUGAUCCUGAACGAGACACAUAUCCCGACUAAUGACUUAAGGGAGGAAUUUCUGAAUUCUGUUCUCCUUGUCACUGACUGGUCAUGACAGACGGCAACGUUAAAGAUCCUUGUCUUUAUUUACUGGUUGGCCCACGGGACCUCCUAUAAAACUGUCUCAAGGGUGGUGGACAGUAGUCGUGUGCCACGUCAGGGUCAAGAUCCCCAGUGCACCGAACCCCCAACAAUGUCCAGGUGAACAUCCCCUCCCCACCAUCAACUUCCAAGGGGUCUGCGACCACAUGCCGCUUCAUCAAUAUCUUUGCGGGGCUGCCUAGGUCUUUGAGCGACUUGAAGGUGCUCAGGCAUAGUCCCCUGUAGAAAAGUGCCCUGUACCCUCCCCCCAGAUGCUUCCUCCUGGGCAACGGCGUGUACCCCUGUCUACAGACGCCUGUGUGCCUCAUCACACCAUAUCCAAAGUCUGAUUAGAACCCGGAGCAAGACCAGUUUAACCAGAACCACGCCAAGGCUCUCUUCCCCCAUCGAGAGGACCUUCGACAUCAUGAGAAAGUGCUGGCACAUCUUCCUCCCGCCCCUCAAGCUCCACCCAUUCUUCAUCCCGAAAGUGCUUGCAAUGUGCACUGUGCUGCAUAACAUCUGCCUCCGGUCCGGGGACGUGCUGGAGCCAGUAAAGAUUGAGGACAGAAACGAGGUGACUGAUGCUCUGACGGAGUGGCUAGUGUCGAAUGAGACCAGCAGAAAGGCUGUGUUUGGCUUAACAGAUCUCUACAAUGAAAUGAAGUGAAUGAUGGGCAAGGGACAUCUGCACCGGCAAACAUGGUGGCAGUGCAACAAGCAUUGGCUUACAACAUAGUGGUGAUGGAAAUUAUUUAUUUCAGGAGCCAAUAAGCGGUGGUGGAACUGUCGCUACCAACCGUUUCGUGAAACAAUUUAGCAGAGUCACCUCUCUUAUUCUAAUGCUUGUAUACAGUACCAUGUAUAAGAUCCUCCACUUUAUUUCAAAUGAUAUAUCUUUUUUUAUACUGUACAUGUUUUUUUGGUGUAAUUGUGGGACUGGUAUUCUAACUAUUGUUUUUUACAUUUUUAUGAUUGUUAUUACUGUAUGGAUAAUAAAAGAAUCCCCUGUGGUCUGCAGUGCAGCCCUGCAUGUGGUAUGCAUUCAAGUCUUUGAUAAAGCCCUUUUCAUUGUGUCACCUAAAGAGACAUUUUACCUUACCGGAAAAUACAUGAAAAGUUCAUUAUGCCAGGCGUAUUUCAACCACUAAUGCAUUGUAUACCAGUGGUGAAACGGACCAAACUAUCCUUGUAUUCUUAUGUCGUUACUGAAUGCUUUAACCUUGUGUGGUGUUCGGGUCUGUGGGACCCACUUUCAAUUUUUACUCAAAUGAAAAACCUGAGACUCAUUGGACUUGGCUCAUUUUCUGUGAACAACUUGUAAAAUAACAUAUUUUUAUUGAGUGCACACUGUGCACUCCCCUACACAUCUAUAUUAAAUAUGUGGUGGUUGGGUUCACUGGACCAGAGGGUAAUAAAAGUGUGUUUGUAGGUGAGGAAAAAAAAGUUUGCGGUGUGCCUUCCUCCUCUCUGCGGGUGCUGUUUCAACAGCACGAAGAACCUGUUUGUCUUCCUUCCUGUCUCCCGCUUUUCUCGCACACUCUUUACCCUUUGUGGUGUGUGAAAGUACACAAUGUCUUGCCUGGAAGCUGCACAAUGUUAUUACAAUACAUUAUUUAAAUACGUUGUAGAAAAAAAAAAUAUAUAUAUAUAAAAAAAUCUGUAUUUUCCCACGCUCUUCCCCGGCCAGGUGCAAAUUGGGGGAGGGACAUAAAUAAAUAGCUUUCUGUGUGUGGCUUCUUACCACUAUAAUUCAGUAUGGCAAAAAUCAUCUCUGCUCAGGGGGCCUUUUAGAAAUACUUUUUUCAGAGAGAAGCUAGUCUUGAAGGUGUGUCUUCGACUUUGGAAGAUUAUGAAUUUUUCAAAUAUGAGGAUCAUGUCUCUGUCAAUUUGGAGUCUGGCAGUGAGUUGGAAGAGGAGGAUGAGAUUGACCCUCAACCAGCCUUAGGACCAGCCUGUCACCAACCAGCUCAUCAGCGGUCUGCAGGAGAAGUAUAGAUGACAAAAUUCAAAUUGAAUGGUCUUCUUGACCAAGGAAUGAGCAACCCCGCAUGCCAAUGUGGUAAGGAUGCAACCAGAGCCGACGCAGAUACUCAUGCAGAUACUCAUGUGCAGGGCAUAAAGUCUUCUAGUGAACUGUUCAUCCAAGACACCAUCCAGAUAAUCAUUCCGGACUGCGCUAAUUUGGAUGGAAUGUGUGUUUUUGAAGAGGGAUGGAAGGAGAUGGACAAAACUCAUUUACAUGCAUACUUUUGGGUUAUUAUCCUUACUGGUGUUUUCAGAUCGAAUGGUGAGUCCACAGAAUCCCUAUGGGAGGCAGAAACUGGCAGAACUUUUCUGUGCAACAAUGUCUCUGGAAAACUUCCACAUUAUUUCCAGGAUUAUCCGCUUCAAUAACCGAGACACCAGACCAGCUCUGCGGCAGAGAGACAAGCUAGCUGCAAUCAGGUCAGUGUGGGGACAAGUGGGUGGACAGCCUUCCACUGUUUUACAACCCUGUGCUCAACGUUACUGUUGAUGAGCAGGUUAAGCCAUUUAGGGACCGCUGCCCCUUCAGGCAGUACAUACAGUCUAAACUCGCAAAAUAUGUGAUCAAGAUCUGGGCUGCCUGUGAGGCUGCUUCAUCAGCCUGGCUUCGAGAUGCAGGUUGUCCUGGACGUGACGCAGGGACUCCGUGGCCACAUCACCUGUGAUAACUUUAUUUUUGAUUUUUUUACUUCGCAAGCUGGGACAGGAGCUCCUCAAGAGGAAGCUGACAAUGGUAGGAGGGAUAUGGAAAGACAAGCCAGAGCUCCCACCUCAGCUGUUGAAUACACAGAACAGGUCUAUCAAUUCUUGAGUACGCUGCAUAGGGAUGGGAGAAUUUGUGCCCAGGAACAUCAAACAGAAAUCAUAAUGGAUUAUACAAUGGCACAAAAGGAGGGGUGGACAAUUUAAACAAGCUGGUGACUGGCUACCGCUGCAAAAAGAAGCACCCUAUGCUGGCCACUUGUGAUAUUCUUGGACAUCUCAGCAUACAACACUUAUGUCAUGUGGAUGGUGUUGAACCCAGAUUGGAACAGAGGGAAGCGCCAGAGAGGACGGCUCUUUCUCGAGGAGCUGGGCAAGACAUUGGUCAGAUCCAGAGGAGGCAACAUCCCAAGGACCCCAGCUUCUGCAGCCAUCGUGAGGAGGAUUCAGGAGGAUGAUGCUGGUGCUGCAUCUGCCUGACCCACGGAAUCAACUACUCCAAUAACGGAAAUUGCAACUGGUAGCAACAAGAAGAAGCGCUGCGACGUGUGUGGACCCAAGAAGGACAGGAAGACACAGUACACAUGCGCCAAGUGCAAGAAAUACAUUUGCAGCACACACACAGUAAAACUCUGUCCCUCAUGUGGUGUGUAGACCGGCCUUAAUUUGUGUACCAAUGAGGCUCAUUUAUCAUUUUCAUAAAAUACUAAAAGAAGAAUUGUCCAUUAUGCAGAUGAUUGGAUUGAAGAGGACUGGAUUAAAGAGGAGGGCGUACCAGUGGAAACCAAUGAAAGUAUUGAUACUUCAGUCAUGCCAUUCAUGGCGGACAGUGAUUUGUCAGAGUAUGGAGACGGACUAUCCACACUUUGCAGCCAAGCGAAUUACAUGGAUGCCAUGACAGAGAGCUUGAAAGGCAGAUUAGGGUCUGUUAGGGAUAAACAAACCACACGAUUAAAAACGGGAUUGUUGGGGAAUACCAAUGCCAAGAAGAAACAGAGAAUAAUUGAACUAGGCUGGAUGGACUUCAAUGAAAAGGGGAAAGAGUUCAAGCAAGUCAGGACAGUAAACGGUGGCGGUACAAGACACCUCUAUGUUGACAAAAAGAAAUCUGUUGAGGAAAUCAAAGUAAUGGCAGAGGAAAUGUUUUUCCCAAAUGGACUUUCAAAGAAAAACACACAACUGGAGGACUAUCAUCGAGAAAUCAGAUGGAGGUACUCUCAAGUAAACAAUUCAAGCACUGUGGAAGAACUUUAUGAGGAAACCAAAGUGGGAUGUCUACGACUCUAUCUUUGCACAAAGGCACACAGUGUCUGCGAUUUUGGGGUUGUAGUCAGUGCCGCCUCUGCCUAUACACAGAGUACGCGCUGCGCGUAGGGCCCCGCCUAUACACAGUAAACGUUGCGCUUAGAACACCACCGAUUGGUCUGACAAUCAGGGCUGUAGCUCUGCCGCUUUCCACCCCAGAUAUCUAUAGUUUAAUCUGACGGAUUUUGAUGGGGGUAUCUUUAUCACGUUAGUUAGAUUGCAUCAAAUAGACUCAACUGCCUAAUUCUUGAGGACACAAUUACCAUAUAUUUUUGAUUCAUUAGAUCAUAAUGUAUAUACAAUAAUUUAGUGUGGAAAUGUUUACUCAAUGUAUUAAAACUGGGACUUGUUUUGUUUGUA